CCUACGGGUGGCAGCAGUGAGGAAUAUUGGUCAAUGGGCGCAAGCCUGAACCAGCCAAGUCGCGUGAGGGAAGACGGCCCUACGGGUUGUAAACCUCUUUUGCCGGGGAGCAAGCCUGAGCACGUGUGCCCAGGCGGAGAGUACCCGGAGAAAAAGCAUCGGCUAACUCCGUGCCAGCAGCCGCGGUAAUACGGAGGAUGCGAGCGUUAUCCGGAUUUAUUGGGUUUAAAGGGUGCGCAGGCGGAGGUGCAAGUCAGCGGUCAAAUUGCGGGGCUCAACCCCGUACUGCCGUUGAAACUGCAUCCCUUGAGUGCGCGAGAAGUAUGCGGAAUGCGUGGUGUAGCGGUGAAAUGCAUAGAUAUCACGCAGAACUCCGAUUGCGAAGGCAGCAUACCGGCGCGCAACUGACGCUCAUGCACGAAAGCGUGGGUAUCGAACAGGAUUAGAUACCCUUGUAGUC
rnacentral:rRNA from 1 species